rnacentral:rRNA from 1 species
AGUGAACGCUGGCGGUAGGCCUAACACAUGCAAGUCGAACGGCAGCACAGUAAGAGCUUGCUCUUACGGGUGGCGAGUGGCGGACGGGUGAGGAAUACAUCGGAAUCUACUUUUUCGUGGGGGAUAACGUAGGGAAACUUACGCUAAUACCGCAUACGACCUACGGGUGAAAGCAGGGGAUCUUCGGACCUUGCGCGAUUGAAUGAGCCGAUGUCGGAUCAGCUAGUUGGCGGGGUAAAGGCCCACCAAGGCGACGAUCCGUAGCUGGUCUGAGGGGAUGAUCAGCCACACUGGAACUGAGACACGGUCCAGACUCCUACGGGAGGCAGCAGUGGGGAAUAUUGGACAAUGGGCGCAAGCCUGAUCCAGCCAUACCGCGUGGGUGAAGAAGGCCUUCGGGUUGUAAAGCCCUUUUGUUGGGAAAGAAAAGCAGCAGGUUAAUACCCCGCUGUUCUGACGGUACCCAAAGAAUAAGCACCGGCUAACUUCGUG